rnacentral:rRNA from 1 species
UACGAAGGGAGCUAGCGUUGUUCGGAAUCACUGGGCGUAAAGCGCACGUAGGCGGAUGUGUCAGUCAGGGGUGAAAUCCCGGAGCUCAACUUCGGAACUGCCCUUGAUACAGCACGUCUUGAGUCCGGAAGAGGUGGGUGGAAUUCCUAGUGUAGAGGUGAAAUGCGCAGAUAUCGGGAGGAACACCAAUGGCGAAGGCAGCUCGCUGGGACGGUACUGACGCUGAGACGCGAAAGCGUGGGGAGCAAACAGG